rnacentral:rRNA from 1 species
CAGUCGCCACGGUAAUACGAAGGGGGCUAGCGUUGUUCGGAUUUACUGGGCGUAAAGCGCACGUAGGCGGAUUGGUAAGUUAGGGGUGAAAUCCUGGAGCUCAACUCCAGAACUGCCUUUAAUACUGCCAAUCUCGAGUCCGGAAGAGGUAAGUGGAACUCCGAGUGUAGAGGUGGAAUUCGUAGAUAUUAGAAAGAACACCAGUGGCGAAGGCGGCUUACUGGUCCGGUACUGACGCUGAGGUGCGAAAGCGUGGGGAGCAAACAGGAUUAGAUACCCGCGUAGUCCCUGUCUCUUAUAC